GCGUGAAUGAAGAAGGCCCUUGGGUUGUAAAGUUCUUUCACCUGUGACGAUAAUGACGGUAACAGGAGAAGAAGCCCCGGCUAACUCCGUGCCAGCAGCCGCGGUAAGACGGAGGGGGCUAGCGUUGUUCGGAAUGACUGGGCGUAAAGGGCGCGUAGGCGGUUGAUUAAGUUAGACGUGAAAGCCUCAGGCUCAACCUGAGAACGGCGUUUGAUACUGGUCGACUUGAGGACGAGAGAGGAAAGUGGAAUUCCGAGUGUAGAGGUGAAAUUCGU
rnacentral:rRNA from 1 species